rnacentral:tRNA from 1 species
AGUGUUAUGCCUGAUAAAAGGAAUAAAUUGUAAAUUUAUAAAUGAAAAAUAAUUUCUAAUACUA